CUUGACCUCAAAUCAGGUAGGACUACCCGCUGAACUUAAGCAUAUCAAUAAGCGGAGGAAAAGAAACUAACAAGGAUUCCCCUAGUAACUGCGAGUGAAGCGGGAAAAGCUCAAAUUUAAAAUCUGGUAGUUCUUGUAGCUGCCCGAGUUGUAAUUUAGAGAAGUGUUAUCCGUGCUGGACCGUGUACAAGUCUCCUGGAACGGAGCGUCAUAGAGGGUGAGAAUCCCGUACAUGACACGGACUACCAGUGCAUUGUGAUGCGCUCUCAAAGAGUCGAGUUGUUUGGGAAUGCAGCUCAAAAUGGGUGGUAAAUUCCAUCUAAAGCUAAAUAUAGGCGAGAGACCGAUAGCGAACAAGUACCGUGAGGGAAAGAUGAAAAGAACUUUGGAAAGAGAGUUAAACAGUACGUGAAAUUGUUGAAAGGGAAACGCUUGAAGUCAGUCGCGUCGUUCAGGGAUCAGCCUUGCUCUGCUUGGUGUACUUCCUGUUCGACGGGUCAGCAUCAGUUUCGGUCGUCGGAAAAAGUGCGCAGGAAUGUGACAUCUUCGGAUGUGUUAUAGCCUGUGUUCGUAUACGGCGGCUGGGACUGAGGACUCAGCACUAGUUGCUUGGGAUGCUGGCAAAAUGGCUUUAAGCGACCCGUCUUGAAACACGGACCAAGGAGUCUAACAUGCCCGCGAGUGUUUGGGUGGAAAACCCGAGCGCGUAAUGAAAGUGAAAAGUUGGGAUCUCUGUCGUGGAGAGCACCGACGCCCGGACCAGAUGUUUUCGGACGGUUCUGCGGUAGAGCGUGUAUGUUGGGACCCGAAAGAUGGUGAACUAUGCCUGAAUAGGGCGAAGCCAGAGGAAACUCUGGUGGAGGCUCGUAGCGAUUCUGACGUGCAAAUCGAUCGUCGAAUUUGGGUAUAGGGCGAAAGACUAAUCGACCAUCUAGUAGCUG
rnacentral:rRNA from 1 species